rnacentral:rRNA from 1 species
GACGAACGCUGGCGGCGUGCUUAACACAUGCAAGUCGAACGGAAAGGCCCUGCUUUUGUGGGGUGCUCGAGUGGCGAACGGGUGAGUAACACGGGAGUAACCUGCCCUUUACUUUGGGAUAACUUCAGGAAACUGGGGCUAAUACCGGAUAGGAGCUCCUGCUGCAUGGUGGGGGUUGGAAAGUUUCGGCGGUUGGGGAUGGACUCGCGGCUUAUCAGCUUGUUGGUGGGGUAGUGGCUUACCAAGUCUUUGACGGGUAGCCGGCCUGAGAGGGUGACCGGCCACAUUGGGACUGAGAUACGGCCCAGACUCCUACGGGAGGCAGCAGUGGGGAAUAUUGCACAAUGGGCCGAAGCCUGAUGAAGCAACGCCGCGUGCGGGAUGACGGCCUUCGGGUUGUAAACCGCUUUCGCCUGUGACGAAGCGUGAGUGACGGUAAUGGGUAAAGAAGCACCGGCUAACUACGUG